rnacentral:rRNA from 1 species
GGAAUUGCUAGUAAUGGCAGGUCAGCAUACUGCCGUGAAUACGCUCCCGGGCCUUGUACACACCGCCCGUCACACCAUGAGAGUUGGAAAUACCCGAAGCCUGUGAGCUAACUGUAAAGAGGCAGCAGUCGAAGGUAGAGCCAAUGAUUGGGGUGAAGUCGUAACAAGGUAUC